GGGUGGAAUUCCAGAACAAGUUCUACUCGGGCACAGGCUACAAGCUGAGUCCCUUCACCUUUGCUGCCACAGAUGACUAGGGCCCACUGCAGGUCCUGCCAGAUCUCCAUCCUGACCUCUGAGGCAGGAGAGGAAUAAAGACGGUCCGCCCUGGCAGUGAUGUCUCGUCUCUCUUCCCUCCUUUUUAGCUGAGGACAUUUCAUAUAUAUGGAUUUCACAGCUAAACUCAAUCCACGCCCCGCACCACAUACAGGCUGCUGUCUCCCACAAGAAUGAUGUCAGGGGCAUUGGGAAAGCAGGAGGGGAGAGAUCUGCUCCACACG
rnacentral:antisense_RNA from 1 species